rnacentral:lncRNA from 1 species
GUCAAGACAUUGGCGUCCUUCUGAGCACAGAGUGAAGAUCUGUGGUCCUCUUAUUUCUUUCUUCUUGACUCCUGGCAUUUUGGUGACAAGCAGUUUCAGAUUGCACUUGUCAAAUCAGGAAACAAGGGAAACUUGGAAGGGAAAAUCAAAACAGUUGGAAAAGUCUCAACAGUUACACUUUCGCGUCGCUUACCGUGAAGAACCACUUGGUGUUCUCUAAGAAUGGGUUUGAUUACGCUGCCCACAGCUUUACAAGUGGCACCUUUCACCCCUCCCGAGGCCCACAUGGAGAGGCUGAUGAAGCUGAUUGUGGCAAUCCUGACUCAUUCCACACUUCCAGGACUCAUUCCACAUGCCACGGACCCUUUGAGGAAGUGCUGCUUCAAGCGGAAGACUUUGGCCCUGUUUGCUUUGCCAUUGAUGACCUCUGAACCCCAUGCCCAAGGCCUGUUUUUUUCAAAGAACGUGGUAUUACAUUAUAAAUAUCAGAAAGAAUUUGCCAAAAUGUCUUAUACCAGGCACCUGGGAAGAGUAAAUGUAGGACCCAUAAGGAGACCUGGUUAUGGUGGCAGCCAAAUUGAGAAUUACAUGAACCCUAGGCCUAAGCUCUCUUUGAGAGGAUGCAGUGGCUUCCUGGCAGCUACACUUCACCAAGAUUGUUAACAAGUCUACCUCAGAACAUGUGUUGGUUUCAUUUGCAGUCAGAGCAUAGGGCCUUUCUUCUACAACCAGGAGCCAUGGCUGAGCAAAGUAUGAAGUGAGCCCAUACUCUCAAGAGAGUUCUAGAAAUUGAGGUUGAACACCUUCCACAAGCCCAAUACCACCCGCUACGGACCACACCCAUCUACAGGCUAUAUGCAAAGGAGCCUGGGAAGAGGAGAAGAAAUCUGUGGUGCUGCUGUCUUCUUCCUGUGGUAGAAAGUGGCCUUUCUUUCCUUCAAGUCCCACUGUGGGACCUGACAGAAAGAGAGGGUUUUCUUUAGCUCAGCUUACACAUGCCAUAGAUCCAUCAAGGAAAUAUUGCUUCGAGUAGAAGAGGGUGGCCCUGUCUGUUUUGUCACUGAUGACCCCCAUGGGUCAGAGGUCAUAGGACAUAGGAGAGUAUCUAGGGAUCUUAUGUCUUCAUAAAGAGGACUAUGGAGAUUGUUGAGUCCAGGGAACCCUUGGGGACAGUGUUCAGGGGCUCCAGGCUCAGAAGGCACACAAGCUGACUCAGAGCAGCCUGAUGUGUGAGCUGUGGUCAGAAUUCCUGUUUGUUAUAUGUGUCACUUCUCUGUGUAGCCAUACCAGCUCUCUGGCUACUCUGCCAUUCACAUCUACUGCUUGACCCUGAACUUUGGUCUACUAUGCUAAUAUAUCACCUUCUUAUACAUGUAUCCCCGGGGCAUUUUUCUUAGAGAGGUCCUUUUCAGCCCCACCCUCAUUUCCCUAGUUGGUACCUUCACGGUGCUUUCUGCCUGGCACUGUUAAGUGGUUAUUGGUUCUCUGGGUCUCUCCUGCUCCUGACACCAGUGAAUAAGAUCAAGAGGAGAAGGGCUGUGCUUUGAUCAUCACUGUUCCCACCACUAAACAGAGACCACAGGGGGCUGUGUGUGCUCACAGGUGCUGCUCAGUGGGGGAGCUUGUAACAACCAGGCUGGACCUAAAGGACUCAGAGAUGUACCCCAGGCCCAUGGGGGGAGUCAUGGCAGACAGUCCUCCCCAGAGUGGUGUCUUUCAUCUUUUUCGUUUGUUCUUUGGCCUUUUAGAUAUAACUAACGCCUUGGGCUAAGUGAUGGGAGUUGGUUUCAACCUGAAGAGGCAGCUGAGAGACACUUUUAGGAAGGCCAUUCCCUAUAGGACGGAGGAUGGCAGAGAGUGUCCCUCCGUUUGAGGCUGCAACAUCUGCCCAGUGACAUUUGAGCCUCAGCCAAAGUCCCCACUGUAUACAAACGGAUUGUUCCCCACCUGGAAGUUUCGGCAUCAGAUAAUAAACUGACAUCACUUCUCCAGGGUAUGAGUGAGAGAACUGCCAGAGGCACCUGGAAGAGUCCAGAGAAGCAAGAGAGAGUAGAAGCCUGAACAUGGCCAGAGAAGUUGGGGGGAGACUGAGAGAGGGAGACAAAGAACAUGCACAGACCAAAAUAGUAGGCUUAUAAGGAGAAAUGAGAGCCUGGGGGGAGGGAAGGCCCUGAGCCGGAGAAGUUUAGAUGGGGAAGGGCUGAGAAGAGCUAGAUGCUUGUGAUACUGAGAGGUCCUGGAGGCCAGCAUCUACUUUGGCAGGCUAAUAGGCACCAAAGACAGCAAUUUGUCCCUUCUGCCAAUGACAAGGGAAAUGGCUCCUUUGGUAGAAAAGAACCAGCUUUACAGGUUCCUGAGGAACACUGGCUUUUGUCUAAUGGCCAGAAUUGGUGGGAAAAAGGAGUUUGCUUUGGACCUGAUACUUUCCUCAUCUCCUUAAAGACAUAGCACUGGGUUGGGGAUUUAGCUCAGUGGUGGAG